ACGGGUGAGGAACACGUGGGGAUCUGCCCUUUAGUUCGGAACAACAUCGGGAAACUGAUGCUAAUACCGGAUACGCUAUAAGGUCUUGGCGACCAUAUAGGAAAGAUUUAUCGCUAAAGGAUGAACCCGCGUUAGAUUAGCUAGUUGGUGGGGUAAUGGCCUACCAAGGCGACGAUCUAUAGCUGGUCUGAGAGGACGAUCAGCCACACUGGAACUGAGACACGGUCCAGACUCCUACGGGAGGCAGCAGUGGGGAAUAUUGGACAAUGGGCGAAAGCCUGAUCCAGCCAUGCCGCGUGAGUGAUGAAGGCCUUCGGGUUGUAAAGCUCUUUUAGAUGGGAAGAUAAUGACGGUACCAUCAGAAUAAGCCCCGGCUAACUUCGUGCCAGCAGCCGCGGUAAUACGAAGGGGGCAAGCGUUGUUCGGAAUUACUGGGCGUAAAGGGUGCGUAGGCGGCCCGCCAAGUCAGAUGUGAAAGCCCAGGGCUCAACCCUGGAACUGCAUUUGAAACUGGUGGGCUAGAGUAUUGGAGAGGUAAGUGGAAUUCCCAGU
rnacentral:rRNA from 1 species